UAUUUGUCGAUACCCUUUUCUUUUUUUGGGGGCUCGAGCUCAAGAACCUCCUCAACAGCAACAAAAGCAGCGAGUUCUGCGGCCCAAUUAAUCGCGCACGAUAAGGAGGUCUACGAUAUUGCCUGACGAGGCGUCGGAGUUUUCGCUUCGGUUUCCGCAGAUGGAUCCGUCAGGGUUUUCGAUUUACGCGACAAGACAUUCGACUAUCAUCUAUGAAAGCUCCGAGCCCGACACGCCGCUUGUGCGGUUGGGGUGAAACAAGCAGAACCCAAGUUACAUGGCAACCAUAAUCAUCGACAGUGGUGGUUCUGGACAUCCGGUUUCCGACGCUGCCAGUGGUAGAGUUGCAGAGGCACUCAGGCGCGUUGAUAUGGAAUCUUUCGUCGAUGGGUCAACCGGUGGAGGAUGGAUUGGAUCCAAUUCUGGCGUAUACGGCCGGGGCAGCGAUUGAGCAACUGCAGUGGUCGUCGACUCAGCCGGAUUGGGUUGCGAUUUGUUUCUCGACUAAGCUGCAGAUACUCAGGGAUUGAAAGCUGGGGUGGAGUCUGAAUUAUAUCUUGAAAAAGAUUGGAGAUUUGUUAUUGAAGAUUAUCGGGUUUGAUUCAUUGCCCUUUAUUGCUUCUUAUCAUCUUUCACAGAUAUGAUGUGGCUUUUUUCCCCUUAGUGACGGAUGACGGAUUAUUACUAUCUCUGAUUUUAGUGGCGCUAACAUAGUAACAUGGGUCGGUCGGUUGUAGAAUUGAAGUCUGUAAAUUGGGUUGUUGAUUUCUUCGAUUUUUUUCUUUAAUUUUCUUUUGUUUUCGUAUUUAAUAGUUUCGAAAGUAGGAAUCUUCACCUGUUUCAAGGUUUCAAGCCGAAAUUCAAUAUUUCUGAUAAUAAUGGUAUAAAACAUGGGUUGAAUGAAACAUCUGAAUUAUUAUUUUUUCUUUCUCUUUUAUUUUUAUAGAUUUCUUUUAUUUCUUGGUUGUUCUUUUGAUGAAAUUCGGAGUGGGGUUUACAUAAUGUCUAGAGAGAUUGAGGAUUUUUAUGUGUUUAUAUAAAGAUUUCUCCAUUUACAGGACCAGAAUUGUUGGUGUUUGUGUUUUAAUGGUGUUAACAAGUUAAUCUUAAAUACGGGAGUAUGUUUUUCUAUUGCCUUUUUCCUUUUUAAUUCAAAGAUGUCUUUGGUUUGUUAAGUUCGGAAAUUGGGAUAGUUGAAAUUACUCUUUCAGCAUUUCAGUGGAAAAUCCAUGAUGGUUUCCACUUGUUUAGUGUUUCUAUAAAAAAUUCACUCAUUCAUUUAAGUUUUUUUUUUUUUUUUUAAUUUUUAUGGGGAGUUUCAUACCUCCCGAUGGUUUUGUUCCUUUUCUUGGCGUCCUUCCUGCUUUCUAUCAAAAACAUCUGCCAUAUCAGCAAAAAUGUGCCGAAAUGUUUUGGGGUUGGGGGUAGCCAACAUGCACAGGUAGAUUGGGGAUCAUAACUUGUGUACAGGGAUGAUGAACAAGGUGGUCUAGCUUUGUUAAACAAAGGAAAGGAUUAAGUCUGAUUCUGAUUGCCAAUAAGUGGUUCAGGGCAGGGCAGGGUCUAAGUAAGAAGAAGAAUUCAGGGAUGUUAAACAAGAAGACAUCAUUUGUCAGAUUGUUAGUUCAUAAUAUUAUGUUCUGAAGAGAUCAGAAACAAGGCGACCCUGUCUCUAACUCAGCAUGCUAUUCCUCUCCCACCAAAUUUGACAAUGAAUUGGCUAUUGAAGAAGCAAGCAUUAGCAGAUUGAUUGGUUUCCAUAGUUCAACAUGAGAUGGCAAUUAAGAAGAGUCCUGCACGGUGCCUUGGAUCUAUGCGUGUGAUGUAUACUUGGAUAUUGCAUACUGUCUGCUCACUGCUGUGUGAAAUGUACAUGAGCAUAAGAGAGUUACAGCUACUGGUUUAUGUUUUGUUUCUGUUUAAAGGGUGGUAAGAUGAUGAAGUUGGUUGGGCUGGGGGUGUCCAUGCAUUGGCAGAGCAGGUUUAGGUUUCAUAUAGUCUGGACCUGGACGUGACCUGUAUCAAGUUUUGGAAGUAAAUAUGGAUCUAUGGUCUGAUGUAUGAAGGAUAUUAUUUUCAUUCAGCCAGCGGGGUGCCUUGUUUUCUUUGUUUAUAGGACGAUGAAGAGUAGUAGCAUGCCUCUUAGACUCUUUGGAGUUUCUUGAACUUUCAGGUAUAAUUUGAAGUAAUAAAUCAGUUCUGUUAGUGAUGAGAUUCUUCCAUUACUUUGAUUAGCUAAAGUGUAAACCCAUCUAUAAGGGCUACUGUAUUGGUGAUUUGGAGUUGAGAGAUGAUGUUUAAAAAAAACAUUUGAUCAAACAAUGAGCCUCCUCACUCCUCAGGUUCCAUUCCCAUGCGUAAAUCUCUUAUAAAUGAAGGUCCUAGACUCGCCUGGCUUUUUAGGCUAUAAUAACCUGUAGUGGGAACCUUUAGGUUGACCAGAUUCCUAACAAAAGAAGAAUGGGCGUCAAUGGGUAACUCCAGACCAGACGCACGCAUGAGAAAGGAAACGAAUCACAGCCAGACUUUGUCAAAGGUCGAAGGUUCUUCACUCUACGUCUACGGCAUUCAACGAAUGGGGAGAGAGAAGGUGCCAGCAGGAGCAGGGUGCCUAAACCUAAAGCCAACACUCAAGAUUAGCAGAGCUUUAUUUAUACAUUGACUAUUUAUAAAGGAAUUUUUUUUCCUGUCCUUUCCCAGUGGCAUCAAAUUCAAAGAUGCACGAUUGACAUCCAUGUCCAUGAAGACGGUGCAAAGUUGAUAAAUAAGCAAAUACUCAUGGUGAAGCUUUUGAAGCAA